UUAAGUAUGAGGUGAUUAAUUGGAGGGCAAAUCAAGUGCCAGCAGCCGCGGUAAUACUUGUUCCAAGAGUGUGUAUGAUGAUUGAUGCAGUUAAAAAGUCCGUAGUUUAUUUUUUUAAAAACAUAAGGGGUAGAAUGGAAAAAAGGACACCA
rnacentral:rRNA from 1 species